UCUACACAGUUUUUAAAGACGUGUUUGAUAGAAUCUAAUUCAUUUAGAAAUUUUCUUUUGGCAGUGGCAGUUGUACAAGGAAGGACACACACUCUGGUUGAGAGGUUUGAAAGGAAAGAGAGGGAGAUUAAAUAGUGAUGAAGUUCAGGCACCUGAUACAACCCCUCAAAUAAUACCUGAGAUGGCUAAAAUAUCCCCCAUGUUGGGAGUUGACAUCUGCAAAUGAUGGCAAUGUUGCUGAAGAUCUGAUGCAGAAUCAUGAUGUAUUCUUAAGUACCCUUCGGUCUCACUUGACAAAAUUACAGGUGGUGCGCCAUUUUUGGGAACGAAAUAAUAUCAAGGGUGCUAUAGAUGCUACGAGGAAGUUGCCUGAUCAUUCUGUGGGUAUUUUUUGGAGGAUUUCAAGCGUGUUGCUUGUUCGUUUCAGAUGGUUCCUAUUGGUAACCAAUUUCUUCCUUGUUUAAUUUUAUGAAGAUUGUAUAUGGUGUAGGUACAAGCAGACCUGAUCAGUAUUCUCGUGGAGAAAAUGGAGA